GUAGAGGUGACAGACCUAACGAGCUUAGUGAUAGCUGGUUACUUAAGAAAAGGAUCUUAGUCCUCCCCAAAUUUUUUACAAUAUUUAUAAAUAAAAACUAAAAUUUGGAGUUAUUCAAAUAAGGUACAGCCUAUUUGAACCAGGAUACAACCUCCUCAAACGGGUAAUUAAAUCCAUAUACAGCAAAGUAGGCCUAAAAGCAGCCAUCUUCAAAAAGCGUCAAAGCUUAUCUUCAAAUUUUCAUAAUCCCCCUAAUUUUUAAAACCCCUUAAUCUUUAUUAAGUAACUCUAUAAAAUUAUAGUAUUUAUUAUGUUAAAACUAGUAACGAGAAUCAGAACUUCUCUUUAAUGUAAGUGUAAAUCAGAAUGGACAAACCACUGAUUUUUAACACUUGAAACCAAAGUAACAACCCACCAAGAAAAUCUUACCUCAAAUAGUGUUAACCUGACACAAGAACAUUCUCAGACAGAUUGAAAGGAAAAGAAGGAACUCGGCAAACAUUAACCCCGCCUGUUUACCAAAAACAUCGCCUCUUGAUAAACAUAUAAGAGGUCCAGCCUGCCCAGUGACUCUGUUCAACGGCCGCGGUAUCCUAACCGUGCGAAGGUAGCGUAAUCACUUGUUCUUUAAAUGAGGACUAGUAUGAAUGGCAUCACGAGGGUUAUACUGUCUCCUUUCCCCAAUCAGUGAAACUAAUCUCCUCGUGAAGAAGCGAGGAUAAAUAUAUAAGACGAGAAGACCCUAUGGAGCUUAAAACUUUCAGCAAUUAUCUUUUCUAUAACAACCUUAAGGUUAUUACAUCAACUCUAAUAAUAUGCCUGUCAGUUUUCGGUUGGGGUGACCGCGGAGUAAAACUUACCCUCCGCAAUGAAUAUUAACAAUUAAGCAAAAAACUACAAUUUUAUGCAUCAAAAAAUUGACAGUAUUGACCCAACACUUUGAUCAACGAACCAAGUUACCCUAGGGAUAACAGCGCAAUCCAUCUCAAGAGCUCAUAUCGACAGAUGGGUUUACGACCUCGAUGUUGGAUCAGG
rnacentral:rRNA from 1 species